rnacentral:rRNA from 1 species
GAUGAACGCUAGCGGCAGGCCUAACACAUGCAAGUCGAGGGGUAACUAGAGUGAUAGCAAUAUUACUUUGGCUAGACCGGCGCACGGGUGCGUAACACGUAUGCAACCUACCUUAUACUGGGGAAUAACUUCGAGAAAUCGGCGCUAAUACCCCAUAACAUUGCGAAGAGGCAUCUCUUUGCAAUUAAAGCUCCGGCGGUAUAAGAUGAGCAUGCGUCCAAUUAGCUAGUUGGUGAGGUAACGGCUCACCAAGGCUACGAUUGGUAGGGGUUCUGAGAAGAUGAUCCCCCACACUGGUACUGAGACACGGACCAGACUCCUACGGGAGGCAGCAGUGAGGAAUAUUGCGCAAUGGACGAAAGUCUGACGCAGCCAUGCCGCGUGCAGGAUGACGGCCCUAUGGGUUGUAAACUGCUUUUGUACGGGAAUAAACCCUUCUACGUGUAGGAGGCUGAAGGUACCGUAAGAAUAAGCACCGGCUAACUCCGUGCCAGCCGCCGCGGUAAUAC